rnacentral:tRNA from 1 species
AGUAAAGUCAGCUAAAUAAGCUCUUGGGCCCAUACCCCGAACAUGUUGGUUAAUACCCUUCCUUUAUUA